rnacentral:rRNA from 1 species
GACGAACGCUGGCGGCGUGCUUAACACAUGCAAGUCGAACGGAAAGGCCCUGCUUUUGUGGGGUGCUCGAGUGGCGAACGGGUGAGUAACACGUGAGUAACCUGCCCUUGACUUUGGGAUAACUUCAGGAAACUGGGGCUAAUACCGGAUAGGAGCUCCUGCUGCAUGGUGGGGGUUGGAAAGUUUCGGCGGUUGGGGAUGGACUCGCGGCUUAUCAGCUUGUUGGUGGGGUAGUGGCUUACCAAGGCUUUGACGGGUAGCCGGCCUGAGAGGGUGACCGGCCAAAUUGGGACUGAGAUACGGCCCAGACUCCAACGGGAGGCAGCAGUGGGGAAUAUUGCACAAUGGGCGGAAGCCUGAUGCAGCAACGCCGCGUGCGGGAUGACGGCCUUCGGGUUGUAAACCGCUUUCGCCUGUGACGAAGCGUGAGUGACGGUAAUGGGUAAUGAAGCACCGGCUAACUACGUG